rnacentral:rRNA from 1 species
AUGAACGCUAGCGGCAGGCGUUAACACAUGCAAGUCGAGGGGCGAUCGUGGAGUAGCAAUACUCUGACGGCGACCGGCGAAAGGGUGAGUAACGCGUGAGCAACAUGCCCGAUAGUGGAGGAUAGUCGAUGGAAACGUCGCGUAAUACUCCGUAACACAGGAGACCGCAUGAUCUUCUGUUAAUAGAUUUAUUGCUAUCGGAUUGGCUCGCGUACCAUUAGCUAGUUGGCGGGGUAACGGCCCACCAAGGCGACGAUGGAUAGGGGUUCUGAGAGGAAGGUCCCCACAUUGGAACUGAGACACGGUCCAGACUCCUACGGGAGGCAGCAGUGAGGAAUAUUGGUCAAUGGCCGAGAGGCUGAACCAGCCAUGCCGCGUGCGGGAGGACGGCCCUAUGGGUUGUAAACCGCUUUUUGUGGGAGCAAUAAGUCCUACGUGUAGGAUGAUGAGAGUACCAUGAGAAUAAGCAUCGGCCAACUCCGUGCC